UCCUAGUACAGUGUCACGUGCCUGUAGUCCAAGCUACUCAGGAGGCUGAAGCAUGAGGAUAGCUUAAGUCCAGGAGUUCUGGGCUGUAGUGCACUAUGCUGAUAGGGUGUCUGCAUUAAGUUCAGCAUUAGUAUGGUGACCUCCCAGGAGAGGGGGACCAUCAGGCUGCCUAAGGAGAUAAAAAUUGGCUAAGAUCAGAAAUGGAGCACGUAAAAACUUCCAUGUUGAUCAGUAGUGGGAUUGUGCCUGUGAAUGGCCACUGCAAUGCAGUCUGGGGAACAUAGUGAGACCUUAUCUCU
ensembl:misc_RNA Metazoa_SRP Metazoan signal recognition particle RNA